GGAUGAUUUUGGGUUUUAUGCGGCGCGUGAAAGGAUUAUGCAGGAGAAAAGGGCUAAGCAAAAGAUUCAAAAACAGGUUUUUGAUGGGAAGCCUGGCGAUGACUUGGCCACUAAUAAAGAGAAACUUGCGAUGAUGGGUAAAGACAGUUCACAAAAAUCCACCGAUAUUGUAUUGAAGGAACCGGUGGGUCCUGCAGCAGUCAAACUGGGGAAGUUGAAUGGGGAGGUGAAGCUGGUAGAAGAAAAUGGAUGGUAUGCAGCAGUUGAAAACUCUUCCAACAAUGCCAAUUCUGUUGCUUCAUCUGAAAACAAAGUUGUUCCUACUGUGAUUUCAAGUGCCUGCUGAAUUUUAAGUGAUUACGAUUCCAUUUUGGGGUCGAUUUUUUAGGGCAGAGUUGCAGUGGGUGGGCUUCUUGACUAGUAGAGAAUAUGCUAAUUACUGUCAGCACUAACAUGGGUUAGUUUUACCUUUUCUGAUGGAUUCAUGCUUUGAAUCAGAAAGACCUCAGUGUUCUCGUAUAACUUGAUAAGAGAGAAUGGCUUCUCAGAACCUAUAAAGAUUUAAAAAUUCUUCUCUCCUAAUUGUUACUUUUAUGUCUCUUUCUGCCCCUCUGUAAACGUGCCAUGCCUAGUUCUUGAGCUGAUCUAUGGUGAGUAUAUACUUUAUCAGUGGGGGAGUCUUUAAUUAUUCGAAGUGUUGAAAACUUAAUUGCCUUAAGAAGUUGUAGGGUGGUAUCAUUUUCAAGAUUUAUGCUCGUGGCUCUAAUGUAAUUCAUCAGGUAUUGGAG
rnacentral:misc_RNA from 1 species